GGCGGAUUUAUCAUCAAGGUUCAAAUUCACAUCUCCAAGGAUACGCCCUGGAAAGAACGCACAGUACCACUUUAAUCCAGAAGGACUUGAUGUUGCAGUGACAUGUCUUGCCUACCUGCUUUGGUUGGGGAAUAGCGCCAUCUGCAGUAAGAGUUCUCCAGGACAGACAAAUGCGCAGCUGAUAUCAAGAUCACCUGGAACAGUACCUGUGACAGAGCUGGAAGCGGGCCGGGCAUGCAGGGCAAUGUCGGGCUGGGGGGGGCC